UUCUGUUCUCAGGGCGGGGUGAAACUCCCCACCGGCGGUAAGAGUUUCGGCUCGAGCCCGCGAGCGCCUUCCCUCGUGUCCAAGCGGGGGAAGGGUCAACAGAUCCGGUGCGAUUCCGGAGCCGACGGUUAAAGUCCGGAUGGAAGAGAAUGAGU
rnacentral:ncRNA from 19 species